UACGGAGGGGGCUAGCGUUGUUCGGAAUUACUGGGCGUAAAGCGCACGUAGGCGGCUUUGUAAGUUAGAGGUGAAAGCCCAGGGCUUAACCCUGGAAUUGCCUUUAAGACUGCAUCGCUAGAAUCGUGGAGAGGCGAGUGGAAUUCCGAGUGUAGAGGUGAAAUUCGUAGAUAUUCGGAAGAACACCAGUGGCGAAGGCGACUCACUGGACACGUAUUGACGCUGAGGUGGCGAAAGCGUGGGGAGCAAACAGG
rnacentral:rRNA from 1 species